rnacentral:rRNA from 1 species
UUCCAGACUCCUACGGGAGGCAGCAGUGGGGAAUAUUGGGCAAUGGGCGCAAGCCUGACCCAGCAACGCCGCGUGAAGGAAGAAGGCUUUCGGGUUGUAAACUUCUUUUCUCAGGGACGAAGAAAGUGACGGUACCUGAGGAAUAAGCCACGGCUAACUACGUGCCAGCAGCCGCGGUAAUACGUAGGUGGCAAGCGUUAUCCGGAUUUACUGGGUGUAAAGGGCGUGUAGGCGGGAGUGCAAGUCAGAUGUGAAAACCACGGGCUCAACCUGUGGCCUGCAUUUGAAACUGUUUUUCUUGAGUACCAGAGAGGUCAUCGGAAUUCCUUGUGUAGCGGUGAAAUGCGUAGAUAUAAGGAAGAACACCAGUGGCGAAGGCGGAUGACUGGACGGCAACUGACGGUGAGGCGCGAAAGCGUGGGGAGCAAACAGGAUUAGAUACCCCAGUA